CAGCAGUAUCGCCUUGCUUCCGUGGCUGCCUGGCUUUCCUCCUCAGGCAUUUCCCACCACAGUCUCCUCCCUCACAUCCCCUCAAUCCGUCUGUCCUCAGUCAACAGCAGCCCUCUCCUGGGAUUGCUCCACAAUCCCUUAACUCCAGCUCCCAGCCACUGCCCUUUCCAGGGGACCAGUGUUCCUGUCUGGGAGAGACUUGCCUGAAAAUGGCUGCCAUAGACGGGGAGAGGAGUGUAAAAGAGGAAUGCCCGGAAGUGAGUCCCUGGACCAGUGAAGAAGGAGCAGAGCCACUGUCUCCUGGCCUUGGGCUCCAACGCCCUGGAAGAGGAGCAUUUGGGCGAGAAGAUUCAGAGGCGGGUGAUGGUGUGUCAAGAAUGCUGCA
rnacentral:lncRNA from 1 species